rnacentral:rRNA from 1 species
UGGGGAAUCUUGCGCAAUGGGCGAAAGCCUGACGCAGCGACGCCGCGUGGGGGAUGAAGCUUUUCGGAGUGUAAACCCCUUUCGACCGGGACGAAACGCCCGCAAGGGAAUUGACGGUACCGGUAUAAGAAGCCCCGGCUAACUACGUGCCAGCAGCCGCGGUAAGACGUAGGGGGCCAGCGUUGCUCGGAAUAACUGGGCGUAAAGGGUCCGUAGGCGGUGUGGCAAGUUGGGAGUGAAAUCUCUGGGCUUAACCCAGGGGCUGCUUCCAAAACUGCCGUGCUAGAGUGCGAGAGAGGUGAGUGGAAUUGCAGGUGUAGCGGUGAAAUGCGUAGAUAUCUGCAGGAACACCCGUGGCGAAGGCGGCUCACUGGAUCGCAACUGACGCUGAGGGACGAAAGCUAGGGGAGCAAACAGGAUUAGAUACCCUGGUAGUCCUAGCCCUAAACGAUCAGAACUUGGGGUGCGUCCCGUUGGGGGUGCGUCCCGUAGCUAACGCGUUAAGUUCUGCGCCUGGGGAGUACGGUCGCAAGACUG